GGUGUGUUUGAUAGGGUUUAUUAUGUGAGAUAGAUAAUAUUUCUCACCAUUUCUAAGUGUUUGAUAGGCUAUCUCAAUAAUCUUCCAGGCCCGCAAAAGAGGUGAAGCCCGCACCAAAACACUGUAGCAUUUAGAAAAUACAUCCGCCCCACCCCACCGGAUCGGUUUUCUCACUUUGAACAGUGAUUGAGAUUAGGUUUUGUGUUUCCAAUUUUCUCCCUGAAGUUAGUUCAAAAUCGGUACACAGCGAAGAUGAGUUCUUCAGUCGAAUCCCCUUGAAUGUAAGAUCUGCGAAAUUGUUUUUGGGCAUGCAAAGAUUUUGUUCUCAAUGCUUUCUCUUUCGCCAGAUUUGUUUGCUUUUGAUACAAAUCUGAAAGGGGCGGUGGAAGCUUACCGGGAGGAGAUAAGAGCUGCUCGCGACGGCGACAGGGAGACGGGACGCGAUUUUAUUUUAGGUUGGGGGCGACGGGAGACAUGAAUUUGAGGGUGGGGCAUGG
rnacentral:lncRNA from 1 species